rnacentral:rRNA from 1 species
GACAGAAGAAGCACCGGGCUUACUCGUGGCCAGCAGCCGCGGUAAUACGGAGGGUGCAAGCGUUNAUNGGAAUUACUGGGCCGUAAAGCGCACGCAGGCGGUCCAUUAAGUUAGAUGUGAAAUCCCCGGGCUUAACCCGGGAACGGCAUCUAAGACUGGUGGGCUAGAGUCUCGUAGAGGGGGGUAGAAUUCCACGUGUAGCGGUGAAAUGCGUAGAGAUGUGGAGGAAUACCGGUGGCGAAGGCGGCCCCCUGGACGAAGACUGACGCUCAGGUGCGAAAGCGUGGGGAGCAAACAGGAUUAGAUACCCUGGUAGUCCACGCCGUAAACGAUGUCGAUUUGGAGGUUGUGCCCUUGAGGUGUGGCUUCCGGAGCUAACGCGUUAAAUCGACCGCCUGGGGAGUACGGUCGCAAGAUUAAAACUCAAAUGAAUUGACGGGGGCCCGCACAAGCGGUGGAGCAUGUGGUUUAAUUCGAUGCAACGCGAAGAACCUUACCUACUCUUGACAUCCACGGAAUUCUGCAGAGAUGCGGAAGUGCCUUCGGGAACCGUGAGACAGGUGCUGCAUGGCUGUCGUCAGCUCGUGUUGUGAAAUGUUGGGUUAAGUCCCGCAACGAGCGCAACCCUUAUCCUUUGUUGCCAGCACGUUAUGGUGGGAACUCAAGGGAGACUGCCGGUGAUAAACCGGAGGAAGGUGGGGAUGACGUCAAGUCAUCAUGGCCCUGACGAGUAGGGCUACACACGUGCUACAAUGGCGGAUACAAAGAGAAGCGACCUCGCGAGAGCAAGCGGAACUCAUAAAGUCUGUCGUAGUCCGGAUUGGAGUCUGCAACUCGACUCCAUGAAGUCGGAAUCGCUAGUAAUCGUAGAUCAGCAUGCUACGGUGAAUACGUUCCCGGGCCUUGUACACACCGCCCGUCACACCAUGGGAGUGGGUGGCAAAAGAAGUCGGUAGCUUAACCUUCGGGAGGGCGCUGACCACCUUNNNAUUUCNANNGG